GACGAACGCUGGCGGCGUGCCUAAUACAUGCAAGUUGAGCGCUGAAGGUUGGUACUUGUACCAACUGGAUGAGCAGCGCACGGGUGAGUAACGCGUGGGGAAUCUGCCUUUGAGCGGGGGACAACAUUUGGAAACGAAUGCUAAUACCGCAUAAAAACUUUAAACACAAGUUUUAAGUUUGAAAGAUGCAAUUGCAUCACUCAAAGAUGAUCCCGCGUUGUAUUAGCUAGUUGGUGAGGUAAAGGCUCACCAAGGCGAUGAUACAUAGCCGACCUGAGAGGGUGAUCGGCCACACUGGGACUGAGACACGGCCCAAACUCCUACGGGAGGCAGCAGUAGGGAAUCUUCGGCAACGGACGAAAGUCUGACCGAGCAACGCCGCGUGAGUGAAGAAGGUUUUCGGAUCGUAAAACUCUGUUGGUAGAGAAGAACGUGGGUGAGAGUGGAAAGCUCAUCAAGUGACGGUAACUACCCAGAAAGGGACGGCUAACUACGUG
rnacentral:rRNA from 1 species